ACCUCUCCUCCCCCCUUUUUAACUUUUUUCCUUCUCCCCUCCACAAAAUGAGGAGGUUACGUGAUGUUCUUAAAACAGGGUCGGGAAAAGGGGAGAAGGUCUCCUCAGCGUCACUGCGUGCAGCCACUCGAGUUGAGCAGAUGAUGUCUGUGAGGGAAAGUUUGACCUUACACACAAUUAAGAGAUAUAUUUAAUUUCAGAAGAUAUUCCCCUCACCCUCUGCUGAUGUCCGUGAGCCUCCCUGGCAGACGGACACCUCCUGCUUUUUUCUUGUGAAUAUUUUUAAACAAAGCACAGACCAAAGGGCUCCGAUCAACACCCCGGUGAAAUAAAGAAGAAAAUAAACUGCUCCAAGUCAGAGCUGGGCAAAAAUCCUUCAUUCCACCUGGAAAACCAGGGCUGCAGGACGCUGUAAUCCACACCGCUGAUGGGGUGGAUGCUGUCAGAGCUCCCUUGUGCCUAUUUGCAGAAAUAGGGUGGGUUGGGUGAUUUUUAUUUUUGCCUUAUUUAUUUAUUUCAUAACCCAGCGUAUAAUUUGCAGCCUGGUGACAAGGUUUGCAUAACUGGAUGUAUCGAUAUAUAUAUAUAUAUAUUUUUUUUUCCUGGUGUAUGGAAAACACUGCUUUAAAAAUAACCCCCCAGUGCUGCGUAUGGAGGGGGAGAUGCAGGCAGGUCCUGCUGCGGGCUCCUCUGUAAGCAGAUCUCAGGAUAAAAGGACAAUAGCACAGUGUUAUUUUCAUUGUGGUUUUGUUUCUUUUGUCUUUUUUUUUUUUUUUUUUUUUCUUUCUGUUUUUGUUUUCAUCCUGGCUGUGCUCCAAAUCACGAAGCUGGAGAAUUUCAGGGCUCGCGCUGCUCCGCUUAUUUUUAACCCAGAACAAUUCCAGCUGCUUUCCAACCCUCCCCCCUUAACUAGAGCGCAUUUCAUGAGAGCUGCUGGCUUUUAGGUUGUGUUGAGCGCAGGGAAGUGCAAAAAAUGGGUCCGAAUGCUCCGCCAGAAAGGAUGACACUGCAGCAAGCCAGCUGGGACAAGCUCACAAUUAACUCAGGUCAACCAAAGGGGGAAAUAAUAAUAAUAAAAAAAUUCCUCCAGCUCUAAAACUCAUUUUAAAAGAAAAACAAAGCACUGCUGCCAUUGCUCCUUUCUCCCUUCUCGACUGCUCCAGCCUCACUCAUCCCAUCUCGCUGCAGUGCUGGCUCCUGCUCGCCACUCCCCAGCAGCUUUCACCUCCGAGGCAGUGAUGGCAGAGGGAAGGCACGCCAGGAAUCCGGCUCAGCUCUCCCUCAGUCCACCGCCUGCUUUUCACAUUUCUCACGGCUGAUGGGGCCGUUUCCAACCCGUUUCCCUUUACAACCUUGCUUAUGCUGCACCAAAAUCUUCCGCUUGCAAGUGAAACCUGCGAAAGGCCGUUUUUGUUACAAAGAAAAACCUUGAUCGCCGAUUUAAAAAUAUGACAGCCGUGCCUGUCAGCUCCUUUUAACAACCCCAAUGUUGCAAGAAAGAUAACCUUUGUGGUUUUUUGUCCUACAUUCUCAUGUUCCUGGGAGCAGGGCAUGGUGUCGGAUGCCUUCUCUGGGAAAGACCAGGGAAAUUUUAUCCACAGGCCGCACCCAGCCCGAAGUGAAGAAAUAUUUGCAUUUGCUUCUCCUUGGAGAGCGGCCAGCCUAUGUGAGAGGGCCCUCCCCGUUCGCCUCAGCCUGCCAAGAGGGAUUGCAAGAAAGGACGGGCUGAUUGCAGCAGCUCAGGGCGUUGCGCAGGCACGGCUCCUUGCCCUUUUGCACCUCCACUGCAAGACGAUGCAAGACCUCAGCAGGUUUUGCACCUCCAGAGUGCGAGGCUUUGGGAAUGACUUCAAACCCACGACUUCCUGGCAUGGCACACGGACCAGAGCCGCCUCUAGACGUGACCAUCCCAACUCCAGGACACACCACAGCUUCGCACGAGCAUCUUAUUGACAAAUAGCUUACAGCCAUCUGUGCCCUGACGGAUGGCUGCAGACACACAUCACCAACAUGAAUAAUAGGCUUUGUAGAUGGGGAGAGACGGCAGGAAACAUUUGCGGGGUUGGUGUGAAGAAUCCAUAUGUUACCCAUACAUUAACCCUUUCAUUCUUAAAUACAGCUUGUGCUGGGGAGACUUUAGGCAGCGUGACCCAGAAACGUUUGUCUGCUGCUGCUUUGUUGGUGCUUUUUUUAAAACAUCUUCCUUUUUUUUUUCUUUUUUUUUCCAUCAGGGAAGCAUUAAAUAUUGACUCAGA